rnacentral:rRNA from 1 species
ACCUACGGGGCGCAGCAGUGGGGAAUAUUGCACAAUGGGGGAAACCCUGAUGCAGCAACGCCGCGUGAGUGAAGAAGGUUUUCGGAUUGUAAAGCUCUGUUAGCAGGGAAGAGGAAGGACGGUACCUGCAGAGGAAGCCACGGCUAACUACGUGCCAGCAGCCGCGGUAAUACGUAGGGGGCAAGCGUUAUCCGGAAUCACUGGGUGUAAAGGGAGCGUAGACGGCUGAGCAAGCCUGAAGUGAAAGGCGGGGGCCCAACCCCUGGACUGCUUUGGGAACUGUACGGCUGGAGUGCAGGAGAGGG